rnacentral:lncRNA from 1 species
GUUUGUUUAUUUUCAUUGUUAGAAUUAAAUUGAUUAAAGUUGUGUAAUUUAAAGUAAACAUUUCUCGAGGGAUCGACAACCUGGACUUCAAAGGUCCACUUUAUUACUUGAACACGACCCAUGCACUUGCGGUAUUAUUUUAACGAACAAGUUUUUGGCGCCGUUGUAAGGGAAAAAUGUCAUUUCAUGGUCCAGGAAGGCAUAGUUCUCGGCCAUCGGAUUUCACGUAAAGGGAUAGAGGUUGACAAGGCAAAAAUCCAAGUCAUUGAGAAAUUACCUCCACCUACCUCGGUGAAAGGGAUAGGGAGUUUUUUGGGACAUGCCGAAUUUUAUAGGAGGUUUAUCAAGGACUUCUCGAAGAUCACAAAGCUACUUUGCUCCUUACUUGAGAAGAAC